rnacentral:rRNA from 1 species
GAUGAACGCUAGCUACAGGCUUAACACAUGCAAGUCGAGGGGAAACGAUGAGAGAGCUUGCUCUCUUAGGCGUCGACCGGCGCACGGGUGAGUAACGCGUAUCCAACCUACCCAUUACAGGGGGAUAACCUUGCGAAAGUAAGACUAGUACCCCAUGGCAUUUUAUGGUGGCAUCAUUAUAGGAUUAAAGAUUUAUUGGUAAUGGAUGGGGAUGCGUCUGAUUAGCUUGUUGGCGGGGUAACGGCCCACCAAGGCAACGAUCAGUAGGGGUUCUGAGAGGAAGGUCCCCCACAUUGGAACUGAGACACGGUCCAAACUCCUACGGGAGGCAGCAGUGAGGAAUAUUGGUCAAUGGGCGAGAGCUUGAACCAGCCAAGUAGCGUGCAGGAUGACGGCCCUAUGGGUUGUAAACUGCUUUUAUAGGGGAAUAAAGUGAGCUACGUGUAGUUUAUUGCAUGUACCCUAUGAAUAAGGACCGGCUAAUUCCGUG